rnacentral:rRNA from 1 species
UACGGGGGGGGUAAGCGUUGUUCGGAAUUACUGGGCGUAAAGAGCUCGUAGGUGGUUUGUCGCGUUGUCCGUGAAAACUCACAACUCAAUUGUGGGCGUGCGGGCGAUACGGGCAGACUGGAGUACUGCAGGGGAGACUGGAAUUCCUGGUGUAGCGGUGGAAUGCGCAGAUAUCAGGAGGAACACCGGUGGCGAAGGCGGGUCUCUGGGCAGUAACUGACGCUGAGGAGCGAAAGCGUGGGGAGCGAACAGG